AUCGUAACUCCUACGGGAGGCAGCAGUGGGGAAUAUUGCACAAUGGGCGAAAGCCUGAUGCAGCGACGCCGCGUGAGGGAUGACGGCCUUCGGGUUGUAAACCUCUUUCAGCUCUGACGAAGCUUUUUGUGACGGUAGGAGCAGAAGAAGCACCGGCUAACUACGUGCCAGCAGCCGCGGUAAUACGUAGGGUGCGAGCGUUGUCCGGAAUUAUUGGGCGUAAAGAGCUUGUAGGCGGCUUGUCGCGUCUGCUGUGAAAGCCCGGGGCUUAACUCCGGGUCUGCAGUGGGUACGGGCAGGCUAGAGUGUGGUAGGGGAGACUGGAAUUCCUGGUGUAGCGGUGGAAUGCGCAGAUAUCAGGAGGAACACCGAUGGCGAAGGCAGGUCUCUGGGCCAUUACUGACGCUGAGAAGCGAAAGCGUGGGGAGCGAACAGGAUUAGAUACCCUUGUAGUCCUAGAGC
rnacentral:rRNA from 1 species